rnacentral:rRNA from 1 species
CCAGACUCCUACGGGAGGCAGCAGUGGGGAAUAUUGGGCAAUGGGCGCAAGCCUGACCCAGCAACGCCGCGUGAAGGAAGAAGGCUUUCGGGUUGUAAACUUCUUUUCUCAGGGACGAAGCAAGUGACGGUACCUGAGGAAUAAGCCACGGCUAACUACGUGCCAGCAGCCGCGGUAAUACGUAGGGGGCAAGCGUUAUCCGGAUUUACUGGGUGUAAAGGGGGCGCAGACGGCGAUGCAAGCCAGGAGUGAAAGCCCGGGGCCCAACCCCGGGACUGCUCUUGGAACUGCGUGGCUGGAGUGCAGGAGGGGCAGGCGGAAUUCCUGGUGUAGCGGUGAAAUUCGUAGAUAUUAGGAGGAACACCGGUGGCGAAGGCGACUAUCUGGCACAUAACUGACGCUGAGGAGCGAAAGCGUGGGUAGCAAACAGGAUUAGAUACCCCCGUAUCU